rnacentral:rRNA from 1 species
AACGAACGCUGGCGGCAUGCCUAACACAUGCAAGUCGAACGAGACCUUCGGGUCUAGUGGCGCACGGGUGCGUAACGCGUGGAAACUGGCCUUAGGUUUGGAAUAACCCCCCGGAAGGGGGGGUAAUACCGGGUAAAUGCUUCGGGCCAAAGAUUUAUCGCCUUUGGAUGGGCCCGCGUUGGAUUAGCUAGUUGGUAGGGUAAAAGCCUACCAAGGCGACGAUCCAUAGCUGGUCUGAGAGGAUGAUCAGCCACACUGGGACUGAGACACGGCCCAGACUCCUACGGGAAGCAGCAGUGGGGAAUAUUGGACAAUGGGCGAAAGCCUGAUCCAGCAAUGCCGCGUGAGUGAUGAAGGCCUUAGGGUUGUAAAGCUCUUUUACCCGGGAUGAUAAUGACAGUACCGGGAGAAUAAGCUCCGGCUAACUCCGUG